CGGUUUGAAUCUGCUGCGGACAAAUGAAAUGAAUGUGGGUAUCGAUUCCGCCUGCAGUGACAAUCAUGCCUUCACCGGCGAUGAUCUCGGUAGAAGCGCCAAUCACAAGGAGUGGAUCGACCCCGUCCAUCGUAUCUGGAUUACCGGAUUUGCCAAUCGCACAGAUGAUUCCGUCACGGAUGCCAAUAUCUGCUUUUACAAUUCCCCAAUGAUCGAUAAUGAUGGCGUUCGUAAUGACAGUAUCCGGCGUACCGUGGCUGCGAAGAGCGGUUGCGGACUGGCCCAUGCCGUCCCG
rnacentral:sRNA from 1 species